rnacentral:misc_RNA from 1 species
UCAGUAUGAGUUGAUAUACUUUAAAGACAUCUGGCUUUCUCAGAAAGAACAGUAUAGGUGGUACCAAGUAGACUACCAAGUUGGAGUUCUUAUUUCAAGAUCGACUGUAAAUAUUAUACAAUUUCGAAAGUUAUGGGUUCUGCCAAUUCUUCAGGUUAUGAACUUAAUCAU